rnacentral:rRNA from 1 species
AUUGAACGCUGGCGGCAUGCCUUACACAUGCAAGUCGAACGGUAACAGGUCUUCGGAUGCUGACGAGUGGCGAACGGGUGAGUAGUACAUCGGAACGUGCCUAGUAGUGGGGGAUAACUACUCGAAAGAGUGGCUAAUACCGCAUGAGAUCUACGGAUGAAAGCAGGGGAUCGCAAGACCUUGUGCUACUAGAGCGGCCGAUGGCAGAUUAGGUAGUUGGUGGGAUAAAAGCUUACCAAGCCGACGAUCUGUAGCUGGUCUGAGAGGACGAUCAGCCACACUGGGACUGAGACACGGCCCAGACUCCUACGGUAGGCAGCAGUGGGGAAUUUUGGACAAUGGGCGCAAGCCUGAUCCAGCAAUGCCGCGUGCAGGAUGAAGGCCUUCGGGUUGUAAACUGCUUUUGUACGGAACGAAAAGCCCUGGGUUAAUACCCUGGGGUCAUGACGGUACCGUAAGAAUAAGCACCGGCUAACUACGUGCCAGCAGCCGCGGUAA